AUUUAUUUUAGUUAAACCAUAUCAUAAAGUUAUAGCAGAAUAUGCUAGUUCAAUAAUAAAUUUAUAAAUUUAUUAAAUAUUAUAAUAAUAUCUUAUAGUAAAUUAAAAAUAGUAAUUAUGUAUUUAUAUAAUAAAUUGUAGAUAUAUGAUUUGGUGUAAUAUUUAAGUAAAAAAUUAUUAGAGGUUGGAAGAUAAUAAAAUUACUAUAACAUAAUUUUUAUAGUAAAUGUAUAUAUGAAUUAUAUGUAUAUCUAAUU
rnacentral:lncRNA from 1 species